rnacentral:rRNA from 1 species
GGCCUAAUACAUGCAAGUCGAGCGCGCCCUUCGGGGUGAGCGGCGGACGGGUGAGUAACGCGUGGGAAUAUGCCCUUCUCUAAGGAAUAGCCUCUGGAAAAGGAGAGUAAUACCUUAUACGCCCUUCGGGGGAAAGAUUUAUCGGAGAAGGAUUAGCCCGCGUUAGAUUAGGUAGUUGGUGGGGUAAUGGCCUACCAAGUCUACGAUCUUUAGCUGGUUUUAGAGGAUGAUCAGCAACACUGGGACUGAGACACGGCCCAGACUCCUACGGGAGGCAGCAGUGGGGAAUCUUAGACAAUGGGCGCAAGCCUGAUCUAGCCAUGCCGCGUGAGUGAUGAAGGUCUUAGGAUCGUAAAGCUCUUUCGCUAGGGAUGAUAAUGACAGUACCUAGUAAAGAAGCCCCGGCUAACUCCGUGCCAGCAGCCGCGGUAAUACGGAGGGGGCUAGCGUUGUUCGGAAUUACUGGGCGUAAAGCGUACGUAGGCGGAUCAGAAAGUAUGGGGUGAAAUCCCAGGGCUUAACCCUGGAACUGCCUCAUAAACUCCUGGUCUUGAGUUCGAGAGAGGUGAGUGGAAUUCCAAA